rnacentral:lncRNA from 1 species
CGCAGCAGUAGAAUCAUCCCUGCAGCCCCAAUAAAAAGAUGCUGUACCUCAUUUCCAGACCAAUGCCAGCUGCGAGGAGGUUGCCGAUUGAAGCGAGUGGGGAAUCUGAGCAUGUGGAGGCAGACAGACAGGGUGAGCAGGAGAAUCAUGGGUUGUGGAAGAGUGUUACUGACACAAAUACGACUGGGAGGAAAUCUGACUUGGCACUAUGGAAACACGCCCCCCUUCCGUUUCCUAGUAAAACUCCCAGAAUACCAGACUGUGCUCAUGGCAGGGGCUGUCCCCUGAGCUGUAACUGUCCAUCAGGAGAAGUGAACAUAACCAAAUCCCCGAUCAGUCUUCACUGUCCACUGCUCCUCGUCUCUGCUUGUGUACAGUACAUUAUACUACCAGGAACACUUCUGAUUGUUAAUCUGAGGUGA